rfam:Ipomoea nil DNA, scaffold: scaffold3210, cultivar: Tokyo-kokei standard.
GAUGGUUUGGCCGAGUGGUCUAAGGCGCUAAAUUUAGGCUCUGGUUCGAAAGGGCGUGGGUUCAAAACCCACAGCCGUUA